CACGUAGGGGGCAAGCGUUGUCCGGAUUUAUUGGGCGUAAAGAGCUCGUAGGCGGCUUAGUAAGUCGGGUGUGAAACCUCCAGGCUCAACCUGGAGACGCCACCCGAUACUGCUGUGGCUAGAGUCCGGUAGGGGAGCGUGGAAUUCCUGGUGUAGCGGUGAAAUGCGCAGAUAUCAGGAGGAACACCAGCGGCGAAGGCGGCGCUCUGGGCCGGUACUGACGCUGAGGAGUGAAAGCGUGGGGAGCAAACAGG
rnacentral:rRNA from 1 species